GUGGGGAAUCUUCCGCAAUGGACGAAAGUCUGACGGAGCGACGCCGCGUGAGUGAUGAAGGCCCUUGGGUCGUAAAGCUCUGUCAUCAGGGACGAACGGUCACGUCAGGAAAUGGGCGUGAAUUGACGGUACCUGAGAAGGAAGCCACGGCUAACUACGUGCCAGCAGCCGCGGUAAUACGUAGGUGGCGAGCGUUGUCCGGAAUUAUUGGGCGUAAAGCGCGCGCAGGUGGGAUAUUAAGUCUGUUCUGAAAGUUCGGAGCUUAACUCCGUGAUGGGAUGGAAACUGGGAUUCUUGAGUAUCGGAGAGGAAAGCGGAAUUCCCCGUGUAGCGGUGAAAUGCGUAGAUAUGGGGAGGAACACCAGUGGCGAAGGCGGCUUUCUGGACGAUGUCUGACACUGAGGCGCGAAAGCCAGGGGAGCGAACGGGAUUAGAAACCCGGGUAGUCC
rnacentral:rRNA from 1 species